UCCAUCGUCCCAGCCGUACACUUCCCCGACAAUCCACAACCCAACCCUCAUUUAUUAUCCAUUUAAAUCACACUCCCAUACACGGUUCCCUCCAAUGGCCACCUCCUCCUCCUCCUCUCUCCUUCUUCGGGAAUUCUCCACAAAACGGCCUGAAUUCACUCGCCGGAGAAUCCGUUUCUGCAACUCCCGCCAAUGGAAGCGACGCCGCCUUAAAAGAGACCGUAAUUUCAUUGUUAACUGUGGCUUCUCACCUCAAUUCAGUAAUAAUCUCCAAUCCUUGAGCACCAUCUUCAAUAACCUAAUUUCUCAGGUGCCUUCCACUAAUUCCAUUGACCUUAUAGCUCCAGUUCUGGGUUUCAUAUCUGGCCUUGCUCUCUAUACCUCUCUUAGGAAAGCUCCCUCGAAUUUCGCUGGAGAAUGGGUCCUGAUUACCAGUCCGACCCCUUUCAAUCGGUUCGUGUUUCUUCGAUGCCCUUCGAUUUCAUUUGAAGAUGGAGCGCUGUUGGAAAAUGUGAACAAGAGGCUUUUGAGAGAGGAUAGGCAUUUCGUGAGGUUUAAUGGUGAUUUAAAGGAUGAUUGCCUGAGUAGUGGGACCAUUUCAGCUAAGGCUUUGGGUGAUGAUGCAGAAGUUAGGGUUCAAUCAGAGGAAUUUAUGUAUCAGAGGAUGUGUUUACAUGCAGAAGAUGGGGGUGUGAUUUCGCUGGAUUGGCCUGCAAGCCUGGAAAUGAUGAAGGAGCAUGGGCUUGAUACCACUUUUUUGCUGGUUCCUGGAACAGUUGAGGGGAGUAUGGAUGCAAAUGUUAGGGCUUUUGUGUCUAAGGCUCUGAAGCAUGGGUGCUUUCCCAUUGUUAUGAACCCCAGGGGUUGUGCAGGUUCUCCUCUGACCAGUCCACGGUUAUUUACAGCUGCUGACAGCGAUGAUAUCUGCACAACUAUACAGUACAUAAAUAGGUCCAGACCAUGGUCAACAUUGACGGCUGUUGGAUGGGGAUAUGGAGCGAACAUGCUGACCAAAUAUCUCAGUGAAUUGGGAGAGAGAACACCCCUCACAGCUGCCGCUUGCAUAGACAAUCCUUUUGAUCUAGAAGAAGCAGUGAAGACAUUUCCUUCCCGUAUAGCUCUGGGUCAAAAUCUUACCAGUGGAUUGAAGGAUAUUCUUCGAGCUAAUAAGGAACUCUUCCUAGGGAGAACAAAGAGAUUUGAUGUUGCAGAGGGAUUGUCUGCAACAUCUCUGCGUGAUUUUGAAAAGGCAAUAUCCAUGGUAUCUUAUGGCUACAAUACAGUAGAAGAGUUCUAUUUGAAGUCAAGUACAAGGGAAUCCGUCGGGAGUUUGAAGAUUCCUGUUAUCUUCAUACAGAGUGAUGAAGGUAUAGUUCCCUUGUUUUCUGUACCACGCAAUGAAAUUGCAAGCAAUCCAUUUACAAGCCUUCUGCUUUGUUCUUCUUUUCCAUCAUCCAAAGGAACAUACAAGGAGAAAUCUACCCGUCCAUGGUGCCAGAAUUUUGUGAUUGAGUGGCUUUUGUCCGUGGAACUUGCACUUUUGAAAGGUCGUCAUCCUCUUCUGAAAGAUGUUGACAUCACCAUCAAUCCUUCGAAGGGUUUGAGUUUUGUUGAAGGGAGUGCAUCUCCACAGAAAAUCUUUACUCUGAAUGGUAUACAUGACACUUCAGAUCUUCGUUCUUUGUCAUUGAAUAAGGGUGAGAGUGCUGAUCAGGUUUUGAAUAUUUCGAAAAUGGAUGUCUUGAACGGAUUCGCUGUGGAUCCUUCAAGCAAUACUUUUGAAGACAGUGAUAAUCAAGUUAAUGGAAGUGCUAAUAUCCAUUUACGAUCAAGAAGGCAAACCCAAGAGAAGAGCAACCUAGAUAGUGUAGAACAACAAAUGGAAUAUUAUGAUGGGUUGUCGAAGACUAGCUCCAUUAAUGACGUUUCAGAAACAGGGGGUGUAGAUGGUCCAGAAGGGGAUGUGGAAAGAGGCCAGGUGUUACAAACAGCCGAAGUUGUAAUAAGGAUGCUUGAUGUGACUAUUCCUGGAACCUUAGCUGAAGACCAAAAGAAAAAGGUUUUGAAUGCCGUUGGACAGGGAGAAACACUUAUGAAAGCUUUGGAAGAAGCUGUGCCACCAGAGGUUCGUGGAAAGUUAACAUCCGCUGUAAAUGAAAUUGUUCAGGCUCAGGGGAAAACUUUGAAUCUCACUGGGCUCAUGAAGACCCGUUUGUUCCCCAACAUAACAUCAGAGAUGAAAUCCAAAGUUCAGGACAAAUCAAGAGAAAAAAGUUUCACUUUUGGAAACCUUUCUUCAGAUCAGUCAAAUAAAGUUUCUCAUAAUGAAGGGAAAUCCUCACAGGGGGAUAGUGAAUCAAGGUUGCAGGAAGACCAGAGGAAUCUCCCAUCUACUUCUCAUAAUGACAUGCCAAGUUCUUCUAAUGGCAAUAAAUCUGGUGAAGAACAGCAUUCUCUGAAAAACCCAUCAGGAUUAGAAUCUAAAACUUCAUCCAAUAUUCGAGAAGAUUCAGGCCUAUGUGAUACUAAGUCUGGAGGGGAUGGGAUUACUUCAAGGGUUGAUUCUUUGGAUGACACGGCAGUGAUUCCUGGUGACAAUAAACAUGCACAAGAGGAAACAGUUCAAGCUUCUGGGAAUGUUGAAAGUGGCUUGGAAAGCAACAAAGAUGCAGAAAAACCCAAUAGUAGUCAAGGAAUUGAGAAAUCAAGUGGUGGCCAAGAGGCUUCAGAAGAACCUUGGAAAGGGAAUCAAAACAAUGAUGAAACAGGCAGGGUUUCUGCAGAUGAUUCCUUGUUGAAGAAAGAACCAAGUGAUGCUCAGAAAAAUGAAGAGAAACAGUCCAUCACGGAUCAGAAUAAAGGAAAUCCCAUGGCCACAAAAGAUGAAGGGCAGAUGUCAUCUGUUCUUUCAUUCGAAUCCCCAACUAUCAGUGUCACUCAAGCUUUAGAUGCCCUUACAGGACUUGACGACUCAACCCAAGUGGCAGUUAAUAGUGUGUUUGGAGUAAUAGAGAAUAUGAUUGACCAGCUGGAAAAGGAAAACCAGGACAAAGAUGAAAAAGAGGACCAGAAAAAUGGUGUCUUGCCUAAGAGACAGCUCAAUUGUGAAUAUAAGUCUGGGGGAAGUGAAGAUGAUGCAGAAGUACAUGGCUCCAGUCGUGAUGUGGACUCUGAUGGUAGUUCUUCAAAUAACUUUCUGAGGAACAACAAUAAUCCGGUUGCUAACCCACGUGACGAUCACUUAGAUGAAAAGGGACAAGAGACUGUCUCCCAUAACAAUAAUACGUUCUUGAAGAGAAGCAUGGUUGGGGACAAAGGAAAUCCAGUAAUCAGUGGUAAAAUGACAGAGGAAACUAAGAAUGAUACUGCUAGUUGUUUGGAUAGGCAAAAGGCCGACUGUAUGAAGCAUGGGUUGGGACAUUAUAGAGUUCUCCCAGAAAAUUCAAGGUCUGUUAGGUAUGUAUAUAAUUUUCCAUUACAGAUAACAGUGAAUCCGUAUGGGAAUUACUCGUACAAAGGAUACAAUACACAAAAUGCUUUGUUGGAUAAGUCAUACAGAAAACAGCUGGACAUGAAUUCGACAAAUGACCUUUUCCUUGAGUACUUUCCAGAAGAAGGUCAGUGGAAGCUAUUGGACCAAAUGGGGCAUACAAGCGACUCUGUAAAAGAUGUACCAAUGUAUAGAAAUAUUAAAGAUAACGAUAUUAAAGAUAACGAUAUUAAAGAUAAAAACCAACUGAAAGAUUCAUCUUUUCGAGAGGCUGAUACUAAGAGAUAUAUUGAGCCAGCUUAUGUAUUGUUGGAUAACGAAUCUAUUCAGUGGUCAGCAGAUGGCAAUAUAGAAACAGAUGAGUUUUCCUCGAAAGCAAUACAGAAUGCUGAUACUGUUGAGGAACUGAUGCUUGCAGUGAAGAAAAUUGUCUUGGACGCUAUCAAAGUGGAAGUGGCUCGCAGGAUGGGCUUGCCUGGUACAGAAACAGUGGAUUCAACUCUUGAACAUGAACUGGAGGAUGUAGCAAAUGCCAUCUCACUCACAGCCAAAAAUGAUUUUCUAGAUUUUCAAAAAGUUAAAUUAAAAUCUAACAUGGAUUCAAGGAACACUUUAGCAUGUAAAAGUAGUGCAUGUAUGGAUAAUUUUACUCUUAAUGGGGCGCAUAUUGUGGAGGCCAUCUCAUCUGCCACCAAGGAUGCCACACUUUUGGGGAAAAUUCUGCCAGUAGGGGUCAUUGUUGGAUCCGUUUUGGUGGCUUUAAGAAAUUUUUUCCAUGUAAUUACUGAAUUUGAAUACUUAGAUAAGAGCCACACAUCAUGUUUGAAUGGUGAGGUUCACAAUGUGGUGGAGAAUUACCUUAGUCAAAAUAGUGAUUCUAAAUUUGGCUCACUAAGUGGUCGCACAAAGAUGGAUGAGUCAAAAGUACUGAACAAUAAGAAUGUCAUGGUAGGAGCUGUUACUGCUGCCCUUGGUGCCACUGCUGUAGUGGCACAUCAUCAGAAAAUGAAGAACUCCGAAAGUCAUGAGAAGACUGAGAUGCCAUCUAAUGCAAAAAUAGGGAAACGAGAUUCAGAAGAUGAAGGUGGAAUAGUUGUUGAUUCAGUUGAGGAAAAGAGCAAACAUAGUUUAGUAAGUAGCAUUGCAGAGAAAGCCAUGUCCAUUGCUGCUCCCGUGGUUCCUACUAAGAGUGAUGGGGGAGUUGACCAGGAAAGGUUGGUGGCCAUACUUGCAGACUUGGGACAAAAAGGCGGAAUAUUGAGGCUGAUUGGGAAGGCUGCCCUACUAUGGGGUGGAUUACGUGGUGCUAUGAGUUUGACUGACAGGCUAAUAAUGUUCUUGCGUAUAGCGGAGCGGCCCUUGCUCCAGAGGAUUCUUGGGUUUGUCUGUAUGGUGUUGCUUCUAUGGUCCCCAGUUGUUGUUCCACUACUUCCAACUUUUAUACAGAAGUGGACCAGGCAAAGUUCAGCUGGAAUUGCUGAAUACAUUUGCAUUAUAGGGCUAUACAUUGCUAUUGUGAUCCUUGUCACGAUCUGGGGUAGAAGGAUUCGAAGCUAUGAAAAUCCACUUCAGCAAUAUGGGCUGGAGCUAAAUUCACCAUCUAAUUUCCAUGAUCUUCUCAAGGGUUUGGCAGCAGGCGGGGGACUUGUUGUAUUGAUCCAUCUGAUGAAUGCUACACUUGGUUACUCAAAAGUCACUUCGCCGUCCUUUCUUACUUCAUCGCCGUCGAGCAUGCUUGAUGGGUUCAGGGCCUUUAGAAGCAUGCUACUUCUCUCUGCAAAAGGGUUUUUCACAGCAAUUAGCAUCGCCGCUGUGGAAGAGCUACUUUUCAGAUCAUGGCUUCCUGAAGAAAUUGCUGUUGAUAUUGGGUAUCAUAAGGCUAUUGUGAUUUCUGGGCUAGUUUUUGCUCUCUUUCAGCGGUCCCUGUUCGCAAUACCCGGGCUAUGGUUGUUGUCCUUGGCCAUGUCAGGAGCCAAGGAAAGAAGCAAAGGCAGCCUUUGCUUAGCUAUAGGAAUACAUACAGGCCUUUUAGUUACCAAUUUUAUUCUGCAAACCAUUGGCAUCUUCACAUAUCGACCGGACACCCCUAUUUGGGUAACAGGUAGUUGUCCAUGGCACCCAUUUGGUGGUGCAUUUGGUCUAAGCUUAUCAGCAAUAUUAGCCAUCAUUCUUUAUCCUCGGCAACGUGUUCCAAGGAAGCUGAUUUCAUGAUGUACGAAAUAGAAUUUCUGGGAAAUUUAGUUGUGGAAUAUUUGUAAAAUAGUGCAGCCAGAAAAUCGGUUGAUCAAGAGCUUGAUUGGUGGUAACUAAAGAAAAUAUAGGAGUGAGAAGUUUGCAUGGUUCAAUCAAGAGUGUGAUUGGUGAUAGCUGAAGAAUCUUGGAGGGGUAUGGAAGUGAAAAAAUUGGCCAUAUCCAAAGAAUUAUUUGGUCAACUGUCGCAGUGAAAAUUUUGGCCAUAUUCGAUGAACAGCCAGACUGCUGAUACCCAGAGCAUGUAGAUUCGUUUCCCAUUAGUUAAUUCAAAAUCCUCCUGGUUUCAACUUAUUAAAUGGCUGGCAACCCAUACAGGAAAGGAUGGCUGAUGUUUAGAUUUAUAUCGAAGUACGAUUGCGGAAAAUGUUACUCGUGGCCUGAUGAAUGCAUGCUGCUUGUGCACGCUACAAAAUUACAAAUUAACAAAUAUCAAGAUCCCAGUAUUGAAAUGCAAAGGUAAUCUGUGGCAUCUGUUGGUAUUGCUACAGUUUCCCAUCUUAAGAAGGUAUGUUAUUCCUCCUCUUGAUGUUCGAAGUUUGUGAAAAAGUAAUUGACAAGACUCGUCAAAAAAAAAAAAAGGAGAGUAAGAAAUUGAAACUUUUGAGCAGAGAGAAGACACAUUUCCGUUGGCGUAAAACCUAAUGAUAAUGUAGAAGUGUAAAACCUAAUGAUAAUGUAGAAUACAAGUCCAUUUGUAAUUUACAUGAUGAUUCAACUGGCUGCAAAACACUGAAUAUUGCAGCAGGACACAUUCACAGAAGGCCCCUCUGCCUUACCACUAGCCAUGCUCCCAAACGAUAUGGAAAUCAAUGGAAACACAUUUCUCCCUGUA